UCAGUUGUCCGCGACCACAGCCACACUCACACUCCACCCCUACGCCUGCUCACAACACACUAGCGCGCAGCAACUUCGCGGCGGCGGCCCAGCGUACAAUAAUUUCAACCUGUGUAGUACGAACGAUAAUAUGGCCAAAACAAUCUGGCAACACUGAGCUGCUGCCUGACAAGUUAACUAGUUAGUGUGUCGCGUCUAUGGGUGGUGUUAGUACGCAUCUGUUUCAACUCCCAGCCUGACAGAAUUUGUUGUUGUUGUUUGUGUGUGUGUGUGUGUGUAACCACGCCUACACAGUGGCUGCCAAGGCUUACCCAUGAGUUAAACCUUCUUUAGUUGGUAAUGAGGAAGGCGUGGGCUCUAGCAGUGGACACCCGAAGGCAGCAGUGGGUGAAAACAAGCAAAAUAAAGAAAAGUUUGGCUGUGAGAAGGUGCUAGACAGCCAGCCAUAGUGAGGAGGGGGCAUCGUCCACCAGCCAUCACCACCACAGGGAAGAUGGAAUGAGCAUGCCUUGAACUACACUCCUGCUUGAUUUGGUGGCUUCUGCAUGAAUGACUGCCUGAAAAAGUGGACAUCGGGCGGCGGACGCAGGGCACAGCACACCGACCACUCCCUGCGCGGCCUCCCUACGGGCGUGGAUCAGCUGAGUCACGCUAAUAGGAGGGGGAAUUACCAAGUCACGUGACCCGGAACACCACCACCACCACCACCACCACCACCACCACCAUCACCACUACCAACAUAACCCGCCGUGCUUUAGGUCAGUGGUAAUUUUCCCUUAAAGUUGUAGGUCCUGUACUACACAAUAUUAUUCUAACACUGUCACUGCUACACACACUUUUUGUUUAGCAUACCCCCUUAUUAUCCACGCACUACUUUUGUACUAUAAUCCUUUGUUUACUUUUGUAGUGUGGAUAAACACAAACUUAGUUCCUCUUCUCUCUCAUUUUAGUGUGGAAACUGUCCAUGUAAGCAAAUUUUUUAGGUGUUCUGAAUGUCAACAAAGAACCCCCAUAACAAUUAAGGGGAUUCACCAGUGUAGGAUUACUUAAUAGGAACCUGCAUCUAAUCCUUCCUACUUUUCCU